rnacentral:tRNA from 1 species
GGCUGUGGCUCAGUGGUAGAACGCUUGCCUAGCAGGUGAGAGGCCCUGGGUUUGAUCCUCAGCACCA